CCCUUAGAUGUUCUGGGCCGCACGCGCGCUACACUGAUGCAUUCAACAAGCCUAGCCGUGACCGAGAGGUCCGGGUAAUCUUUGAAACUGCAUCGUGAUGGGGCUAGAUUAUUGCAAUUAUUAAUCUUCAACGAGGAAUGCCUAGUAAGCGUGAUUCAUCAAAUCGCGUUGAUUACGUCCCUGCCCUUUGUACACACCGCCCGUCGCUCCUACCGAUUGAAUGUGUUGGUGAGGAGCUCGGAUUGGCAGCAGUUGGUGGUUCGCCACCGGCUAUUGCUGAGAAGUCCUCCAAACCGCCCCAUUUAGAGGAAGGAGAAGUCGUAACA
rnacentral:rRNA from 1 species